rnacentral:sRNA from 1 species
GUGAGUGUCUAGGCAGAGCAGCCAGCGUGGGGUUUAAUGUGAGUGUGUGUUGGAACACUGGGAUACCCCUAGAAGCGGCAUCGUAAGCUCCCCACCUGCAUUCAUUUUACCAGCAGCUGCAGGUUCAGGCUUGUCUCAGAGGAGAAGGGAGUGGGAUGGUGGAUGCCUGGCGUUCUGUGUCACUUCUUCCAAAGGAGUACUUCUCUUCUGGUUACCCAGGAUGAGUUAAAAAUACUUCGACCCCCACCACUUCUGGCAGUGGAGCAGCUUCUCGGACUACGUGCAGUGCGUCCUGGCCUUCACGGGUGUGGCGGGCUACAUCACCUACCUGUCCAUUGACUCCGCCCUGUUUGUGGAGACCCUGGGCUUCCUGGCCGUGCUGACCGAAGCCAUGCUGGGUGUGCCGCAGCUUUACCGCAACCACCGCCACCAGUCCACGGAGGGCAUGAGCAUCAAGAUGGUGCUCAUGUGGACCAGUGGUGACGCCUUCAAGACGGCCUACUUCCUGCUGAAGGGCGCCCCUCUGCAGUUCUCCGUGUGCGGCCUGCUGCAGGUGCUGGUGGACCUGGCCAUCCUGGGGCA